UACGUAGGGUGCGAGCGUUGUCCGGAAUUAUUGGGCGUAAAGAGCUCGUAGGCGGUGUGCCGCGUCGGCCGUGAAAACCUGGGGCUCAACUCUGGGCGUGCGGUCGAUACGGGCAUCACUUGAGUUCGGCAGGGGAGACUGGAAUUCCUGGUGUAGCGGUGAAAUGCGCAGAUAUCAGGAGGGAACACCGGUGGCGAAGGCGGGUCUCUGGGCCGAUACUGACACUGGAGGAGCGAAAGCGUGGGGAGCGAACAGG
rnacentral:rRNA from 1 species